AUGCCUUAUUCCACCACAGCAACAACAGAAAAUGGUGGUGUUUACUCUCGUAUUGAAAACUGGGAUGUGUCUGGGAGUGUUAAUCUCAUCUGUGGACCUUUGUGCAGAUGGAACUGUGACAUAUGCCUCUGCCCAUCACCUGAUUUGACUCUUCUGCCUGGGACCAGACAACAGAUGGGACUGUGACAUCACUGGACCUAGCAUUUAAGUAAUGUGACUCCAUUUGUCUGCCUUGGUGCUGCCGAUAGGGGGCAUUGUGACAUGUUGCUGGGAAUUGCACCCAGGUGAUGUGAGCCUACUCCCCUGCCUUGGGGCUGCCCCCAAAACACAUUGUAACAUAUCACUAAUCUCUGCACUCAGGUUCUGUGACUCUCCUGUCUGUGCCCUGCCCACAUGGAUUAUUGUGACAUAUUGCUGGGUCCAACACCCAGGUGAUGUAACUCUCCUGCUUGAGUCCUGCCUUAAGUCCAGGGGGCAUUGUGAAAUAUCUCUGCACUCAUCAUUCUGGUGAUUUGACUCUCUUCUUGCCAGGUCUCUGCUCACAGGGGGGAUUUUGAUGUAUUGCUAAGUCCAGCACCUAGCUAAUGUAAGUUUUCUCUUCUUAGGUUCUGCCUGUAGAAAAGAUUGUAACAUAAUGCUGGGCCCAACUUCAAGGUGGCAUUACUUUUUUGACUUGGCCUUGCUCUCAGAAGACAUUAUAACAUACUGCUGGGCCCAGAACCAAGGUUAUGUUAAGUCUUCCUCCUAAAACCUACCCACAGAAGACAUCGUGACUUAUCUCUGGGCCCAUCAACUAUUUGAUGUGACUGUACUCUUAUCUGAGAUUUUUUAAUAAAAGAGAUUUUGACAUAUCUUUGGGCCCGGCACCUAGGUGAUUUGACUCUUCUCCUGCCUGAGCCAUGACCAGAGAUAGAGAGUGACUUAUUGCCUGAACCAGCACACAAAUGUAAUUAUUCUGAUUUCUUCCCAAAGAAGUAAUUAUGACAUAUUUUUGAGCCCAUCACCUAAAUGAUACAAUUUUUUUUUUUUCCUGACCCUUGCCCACGGAGGUGAUUGUGAAAUACAGGUGGGCUCAGCCCUUAGGUUAUGUGACUCCUCUUUUUUUCUGAGCCCUAUCCACAAUGGGCAUUGUGACAUAUCUCUGGGCCCGUCACCUAGGUGAUGUGACUCUAUUUUCUGGGCCUUCACUCAGGGUAUAUUAUGAUAUAUGCCUAUAUCUAGCACCUAGGUAAUAUGACUCUCCUAUUCUGCAUGGGCCGUGCAUAUAUUGUGUACUGUGACGUAUUUCUGGGUCCAGCACCUAGGUGAUUUUGCCCUCCAGCAUAGCCCCAUUUGCCCUCAGGAUUAUAAGAUAUCUUUCUAUUCAUCACCUACAUGAUGUGACUCUUUGCUUUUGUCCUGCCAAAAGGGAUUGUUACAUUUCACUGAACCCAGCACCUAGGUAAUGUGACUCUCCUCUUAUGAUUGGGACUUAGAAUUUUUGGUAGUGUGAUGUACUGCUGAGCUUAACACCUAGGCAGUUGGAGGCUCUUGCCUGGGCCUGGCUCAGAGUUGCCCUGUGACAUAAUUUUGCAUCAAUCAUCUGGGAGAUGUGACUUUUCUUUUCUACCUUCACUCUGCCCAAAGGGAAAAUUGUCACAUAUCACUGGGCUCAGCAACCAGGUAUGUGUCACUCCUGCUUGUGACUUGCCAACAGAGAGCAUUGUGACAUACUCCUGAGCCAAUCACACUGGUGAUGGGACUCUGCUUCAUGUGACUUGCUUUCAGGAGGAAAUUGUAACAUAUCCCUGGUUGAGCACCCAGGUAAUGUGACCCCUCCUGCCUCACCCCUGCCCUCUGGAAAGAUUGUGACACAUCCCUGGCCUAUCACUGAGGUGAUGUGACUCUUCUGUUGGCUCUCCGUGGACAGUUGGGAUUUUGAAUAUACCUUGGCAAACUUGACAGGUGUGAUGAGGACUCUCAUACCGCAAACCAGCAAAUAGAGGAGAUACUGUCUUUCAUAAGUAGGCUUUAAAAACUGGGUAGCAUUCUGAAUCUCUUCUUCACACAAAGGUCAUAGAGGAUUACCACUGUCUUGCAUAUAAUAUAAAGCCCUCCGGUAGUCCACACAGUGUCAUCAAAAGGUGCAAAGCACAGAUGAAAUUGUGCUUUUCACAUGCACACCAACCACUGGGAUUCUCACCCUAACACAUUGAUGAAACCCACUGGAGAGGUCCCAAAUCUAAAAUAUAGAUGCAGUCCAGAGUUGGAAAUGUGAGUGUCACAUGUGAACAUCCAGCCACAAGACAGUAACAAUUUUAACUGAAGACUGCUUUGUUAUGGUGACUGAUUUCUUCCUUUUCUCUUUUCUUUUGAGACAGAGUCUCGCUCUGUCACCCAGGCUGGAGUGCAGUGGCGCGAUCUCAGUCACCACAACCUCCGGCCGU
rnacentral:lncRNA from 10 species